CCCUUAGAUGUUCUGGGCCGCACGCGCGCUACACUGAUGCAUUCAACGAGUUUCUUCCUGGUCCGAGAGGAAUGGGUAACCUUUUGAAAGUGCAUCGUGAUAGGGAUAGACUAUUGCAAUUAUCGGUCUUCAACGAGGAAUUCCUGGUAGACGUAGUUCAUCAGACUGCAUCGAUUACGUCCCUGCCCUUUGUACACACCGCCCGUCGCUCCUACCGAUUGAGUGCUCAGGUGAGCCAUUCGGACUUUCAUCAUGCUGGUUUCCAGUUUUGAUGAAGGAAAGUCUUGCGAACCUUAUCAUUUAGAGGAAGGAGAAGUCGUAACA
rnacentral:rRNA from 1 species